rnacentral:rRNA from 1 species
ACGGAAGGCAGCAGUAGGGAAUCUUCCACAAUGGACGCAAGUCUGAUGGAGCAACGCCGCGUGAAUGAAGAAGGCUUUCGGGUCGUAAAAUUCUGUUGUUAGUGAAGAACAUGCAGGAGAGUACCUGUUAUUGUAUUGACGGUAUCCAACCAGAAACCCACGGCUAACUACGUGCCAGCAGCCGCGGUUAUACGUAGGUGGCAAGCGUUGUCCGGAUUUAUUGGGCGUAAAGGGAACGCAGGCGGUUUUGUAAGUCAGAUGUGAAAGCCUUCGGCUCAACCGAAGAAUUGCAUUGGAAACUGGAAGGCUUGAGUGCAGGAGAGGAGAGUGGAACUCCAUGUGUAGCGGUGGAAUGCGUAGAUAUAUGUAAGAACACCAGUGGCGAAAGCGGCUCUCUGGUCUGUAACUGACGCUGAGGUACGAAAGCGUGGGUAGCAAACAGGAUUAGAUACCCUGGUA